rnacentral:rRNA from 1 species
GAUGAACGCUGGCGGCGUGCUUAACACAUGCAAGUCGAACGAUGAAGCCCAGCUUGCUGGGUGGUUUAGUUGCGAACGGGUGAGUAACACGUGAGUAACCUGCCCUUAACUCUGGGAUAAGCCUGGUAAACUGGGUCUAAUACCGGAUAGGAGCGUCCACCGCAUGGUGGGUGUUGGAAAGAUUGAUCGGUUUUGGAUGGACUCGCGGCCUAUCAGCUUGUUGGUGAGGUAAUGGCUCACCAAGGCGACGACGGGUAGCCGGCCUGAGAGGGUGACCGGCCACACUGGGACUGAGACAGGGCCCAGAAUCCUACGGGCGGCAGCAGUGGGGAAUAUUGCACAAUGGGCGCAAGCCUGAUGCAGCGACGCCGCGUGAGGGAUGACGGCCUUCGGGUUGUAAACCUCUUUCAGUAGGGAAGAAGCGAAAGUGACGGUACCUGCAGAAGAAGCACCGGCUAACUACGUG